AUGAACGCUGGCGGCGUGCCUAAUACAUGCAAGUCGAGCGAACAGACGAGGAGCUUGCUCCUCUGACGUUAGCGGCGGACGGGUGAGUAACACGUGGAUAACCUACCUAUAAGACUGGGAUAACUUCGGGAAACCGGAGCUAAUACCGGAUAAUAUAUUGAACCGCAUGGUUCAAUAGUGAAAGACGGUUUUGCUGUCACUUAUAGAUGGAUCCGCGCCGCAUUAGCUAGUUGGUAAGGUAACGGCUUACCAAGGCGACGAUGCGUAGCCGACCUGAGAGGGUGAUCGGCCACACUGGAACUGAGACACGGUCCAGACUCCUACGGGAGGCAGCAGUAGGGAAUCUUCCUCAAUGGGCGAAAGCCUGACGGAGCAACGCCGCGUGAGUGAUGAAGGUCUUCGGAUCGUAAAACUCUGUUAUUAGGGAAGAACAAAUGUGUAAGUAACUAUGCACGUCUUGACGGUACCUAAUCAGAAAGCCACGGCUAACUACGU
rnacentral:rRNA from 1 species